GCUCAGGACGAACGCUGGCGGCGUGCUUAACACAUGCAAGUCGAACGAUGAACCUCCUUCGGGAGGGGAUUAGUGGCGAACGGGUGAGUAACACGUGGGCAAUCUGCCCUGCACUCUGGGACAAGCCCUGGAAACGGGGUCUAAUACCGGAUACGACACGCGACCGCAUGGUCCGCGUGUGGAAAGCUCCGGCGGUGCAGGAUGAGCCCGCGGCCUAUCAGCUUGUUGGUGAGGUAAUGGCUCACCAAGGCGACGACGGGUAGCCGGCCUGAGAGGGCGACCGGCCACACUGGGACUGAGACACGGCCCAGACUCCUACGGGAGGCAGCAGUGGGGAAUAUUGCACAAUGGGCGAAAGCCUGAUGCAGCGACGCCGCGUGAGGGAUGACGGCCUUCGGGUUGUAAACCUCUUUCAGCAGGGAAGAAGCGAAAGUGACGGUACCUGCAGAAGAAGCGCCGGCUAACUACGUGCCAGCAGCCGCGGUAAUACGUAGGGCGCAAGCGUUGUCCGGAAUUAUUGGGCGUAAAGAGCUCGUAGGCGGCUUGUCGCGUCGGAUGUGAAAGCCCGGGGCUUAACCCCGGGUCUGCAUUCGAUACGGGCAGGCUAGAGUUCGGUAGGGGAGAUCGGAAUUCCUGGUGUAGCGGUGAAAUGCGCAGAUAUCAGGAGGAACACCGGUGGCGAAGGCGGAUCUCUGGGCCGAUACUGACGCUGAGGAGCGAAAGCGUGGGGAGCGAACAGGAUUAGAUACCCUGGUAGUCCACGCCGUAAACGUUGGGCACUA
rnacentral:rRNA from 1 species